AUGGAUGGAUGUGUCCCGCGCUCAAGCUCCAUCUGCCGCCGCUGUUGCCCGGAACCGACGCCGCACGACUCGAUCCACCCAUUCCCGCCGGUUCCCGCCGUCCCCGUCGCCGGGACCCCCCUGCCGUCGUCGCCUGCAUCUCCAUGGGCGUGCUGCUGUUUCUGUGCUUCAGAAACAAACAACAGUAGCUCAUCCGCUCGUCUCGCUCUCGCGUUGACCGAGCGUAGCGCUAGCAGGCCUAGUUGCGCGCCCCCUGCAGGCCUUCCCUCUCCACUAGUUGGGCCAAGGCCCAGUGGUGAGCUGCCCCAGCCUCCCCUGUGCACCUCUGGGCCUGCCAGUUUUGGCCCAUUCCAUUUUUUUCUGGCCUCUGUGUUUUGCUAA
rnacentral:rRNA from 1 species